CACUCCUACGGGAGGCAGCAGUGGGGAAUUUUGGACAAUGGGCGAAAGCCUGAUCCAGCAAUGCCGCGUGCAGGAUGAAGGCCUUCGGGUUGUAAACUGCUUUUGUACGGAACGAAAAAGCUCCUUCUAAUACAGGGGGCCCAUGACGGUACCGUAAGAAUAAGCACCGGCUAACUACGUGCCAGCAGCCGCGGUAAUACGUAGGGUGCGAGCGUUAAUCGGAAUUACUGGGCGUAAAGCGUGCGCAGGCGGUUAUGUAAGACAGAUGUGAAAUCCCCGGGCUCAACCUGGGAACUGCAUUUGUGACUGCAUGGCUAGAGUACGGUAGAGGGGGAUGGAAUUCCGCGUGUAGCAGUGAAAUGCGUAGAUAUGCGGAGGAACACCGAUGGCGAAGGCAAUCCCCUGGACCUGUACUGACGCUCAUGCACGAAAGCGUGGGGAGCAAACAGGAUUAGAUACCCGGGUAGUCCCAUGA
rnacentral:rRNA from 1 species